UUGCUGAUCGCACGGUCUCGUACCGGCGACGCAUCCUUCAAGUGUCUGCCUUAUCAACUGUCGAUGGUAGUUUAUGUGCCUACCAUGGUUGUAACGGGUAACGGAGAAUAAGGGUUCGACUCCGGAGAGGGAGCCUGAGAAAUGGCUACCACAUCCAAGGAAGGCAGCAGGCGCGCAAAUUACCCACUCUCAGCACGAGGAGGUAGUGACGAAAAAUAACGAGACGGAUCUCUAUGAGGCCCGUUAUCGGAAUGAGAACAAUUCAAAUCCUUUAACGAGGAUCUAGCGGAGGGCAAGUCUGGUGCCAGCAGCCGCGGUAAUUCCAGCUCUGCAAGUGUAUAUCUAUGCUGCUGUGGUUAAAAAGCUCGUAGUUGGAUCUGCGUGCUCGGUACUGGU
rnacentral:rRNA from 1 species